rnacentral:rRNA from 1 species
GCUGCCAUUGGGAGGGGGACAACAGUUGGAAACGGCUGCUAAUACCCCGUAUGCCGGAAGGUGAAAGGGAUUAUCCCGCCCGAUGAGGUGCUCAUGUCCUAUCAGCUAGUUGGUGAGGUAACGGCUCACCAAGGCAAUGACGGGUAGCCGGCCUGAGAGGGUGAACGGCCACACUGGAACUGAGAUACGGUCCAGACUCCUACGGGAGGCAGCAGUGGGGAAUAUUGGGCAAUGGGGGAAACCCUGACCCAGCGACGCCGCGUGGGGGAAGACGGCCUUCGGGUUGUAAACCCCUUUUGUAUGGGAAGAAGGACGUGACGGUACCAUACGAAUAAGUCCCGGCUAACUACGUGCCAGCAGCCGCGGUAAUACGUAGGGGACGAGCGUUGUCCGGAAUUACUGGGCGUUAAGGGCGCGCAGGCGGUUUGUCAAGUCAGCUGUUAAAUAUCAGGGCUUAACCCUGAUAUGCUGUUGAAACUGGCAGACUGGAGUGCUGUAAAGGCAACUGGAAUUCCCAGUGUAGCGGUGACAUGCGUAGAUAUUGGGAAUAACACCGGUGGAGAAGGCGACU